rnacentral:rRNA from 1 species
ACCCAACAGCUAGCCCACCUACCAACCUAACAACUAACUAUAAAUAAACCCUAAUACCCCAAACCUAAAAUAAACAAACCAUUUUUCCGUCCUAGUAUGUGCGACAGAAAAGAAACUAUGCGAGCGAUAGAGACAGUACCGCAAGGGAAAGCUGAAAAAGAAAUGAAAUAAACCAUUCAAGUCAAAAAAAGCAGAGAUUAACA